AUUGACCUUCGGGGCAGGGUGAAAGCGGCGAUAACUCCAGCGAGGCGACAGCGUUAGCGGAGCGGCGCUCAUUCCCGAUCGGUGGUACAGCCCACGAGCGGAUGGUUUAAACAGUGAUGUUCCCAACCACUUCCGCAUGACCCGGUGAAAUUCCGGGGCCGACGGUACAGUCCGGAUGAAAGAAGGUGACC
rnacentral:ncRNA from 2 species